rnacentral:sRNA from 1 species
AUUAUUCAGUUUGAGGCUUCUUUGGCUGGCAAAGAUAAAAAAAGCACUCGAGAAAUAUGGUGUGGUGUGUGGUGCGGUGCAGUGAAUUGCGGUGUGGUGUGGUGUUGAAAAAUGAAAUCGACCAAAGGGCUCAACCACACAAAUAAUUUGGUGUAUGGAAAUCACUUAACUAUUUGAUAACGCUGGAUCCGAAGCAGUUCCAAAAAACAGAUAUUGGAUGUAAAGGAGAUUUCGUUAAAUAGAAUGCGAGGUUAUAUUGCGCUCACUUAACAAAGCAAAAUUAUCGCAUAGGCGUAGCAUUGAGCUGAUAUAUCAACAGAUUUAUUAUCUUGGCGGCUGUGUGAAGAGUUUUGAUAAUUAAUGCAAUGGAUAAAUAUUUCGUUGGCGCAAAGAAAGAUGCAAAGAAAGAUGCAAAGAAAGAUGCUACUUCAUUUAAAUUAUAAAGGGUGAUUUUUCCGCAAUUACCUUUUUUGGCAACAUUGGUUUAAACAGCUCAUGCACGUAUCGUGUU